rnacentral:lncRNA from 1 species
CUCUAUAAUGGAUAUUUUUGCACUACAAAGAGUUGUGCAUGUUCAGAUAGCUGCCAUAUUACUCAUCUUGGAAAUGAUGAGCCCUCACACAACUUGGAAAUAGGAAGAUUUGCUUUAGGGUGCCAAAUACAUAGGGUUAAGAGAUUGUGCAAGAGCCCUCCAUUUUUGAGACGAGUAAUAUGGAAGCUAUCCCAGCAUGGUAGUUCUCUAUGGUGCAAACUACAAAGCAUGCAUUGUACAUGAUCUAGGAUCCCUCACCCCU